rnacentral:misc_RNA from 1 species
AGCAGUGUCCCAUCCGUAAUCACCUGGAAAUUCCCCAGUUAAGUAGGAUGGUGUUUGCUCCGAAAAUGGGCCCAAGUACUUAGGACGGUCUUCUCCGUACCAGAUGCUUUGAGGAGCGCUUUUAACAGUGCGUCUCAUGGUAAUACGGCCUUCACCGAAGUUGCCAACUUUCCUAAUAAAUUCAUUUUGAGAUUUACCAACUGCUUGACCAACAAAGGCUGAUUGUUGAAUUGCACAAGUGGCCAUUUUUUU